UACGUAGGUGGCAAGCGUUGUCCGGAUUUGCCGGGCGUAAAGAGCGCGCAGGCGGUCGUCCAAGUCGCGUGUGAAAGCCCCCGGCUCAACUGGGGAGGGUCACGCGAUACUGGUCGACUCGAAGGCAGGAGAGGGUAGUGGAAUUCCCGGUGUAGUGGUGAAAUGCGUAGAUAUCGGGAGGAACACCAGUGGCGAAGGCGACUACCUGGCCUGUUCUUGACGCUGAGGCGCGAAAGCUAGGGGAGCAAACGGG
rnacentral:rRNA from 1 species